CUCUCCUUGCAAUGUACAAAAAGACACUUUGUCCACAGUCUUGUUCUUAUAUCAGUCAGGAGCAGAGCAGAUGGCAGUCCUUUGUUCAUCCUAGCUUGAUGCCUGGCUCGAUGACCAAACUGUCUUAUGCCUAGGACUCAUAA